AAGGAUCAUUAGUGGAGAGAUUAAAAAUCUCUUUAGAACCCCUUGUGUGCAUCUAUUGAAAAUAUGCUUUGGGAAGUAAGGUCUUUCGUGAAGCCCCACGAAGGCCCCUUCCCAGAGUCUUGUCUCAUUCAUGCUUUAAUUUUCAGGCUGAGAAAAAACAAUUACAAAUUUUGAAAUCCAAUACAACUUUCAACAACGGAUCUCUUGGCUCUC
rnacentral:misc_RNA from 1 species